AUUCCAGCUCCAAUAGCGUAUAUUUAAGUUGUUGCAGUUAAAAAGCUCGUAGUUGGAUUUUGGUUAAGAGGGCGCGGUCGGCCGUUUGGUCUGUACUGCGUUGUCUUGACUUCCUGAUGAGGACAUGCUCUUGGUUAACGCUGAGACAUGGAGUCAUCGUGGUUACUUUGAAAAAAUUAGAGUGUUCAAAGCGGGCUUACGCUUGAAUAUAUUAGCAUGGAAUAACACUAUAGGACUCCUGUCCUAUCUCGUUGGUCUCGGGAUGGGAGUAAUGAUUAACAGGGACAGUCAGGGGCACUCGUAUUCCGCCGAGAGGGGUGAAAUUCUCAGACCAGCGGAAGACGAACCACUGCGAAGGCAUUUGCCAGGGAUGUUUUCAUCG
rnacentral:rRNA from 1 species